UUGUGGUUAAAAAGCUCGUAGUUGGAUCUCAACAGCCUUGAAGCGGUUAACUUUGUAGUUUUACUGCUUUAUAGGCUGUGCUUUUGCUGGAGGUUUAGGGGUGCUCUUGAUCGAGUGUCUCUGGAUGCCAGCAGGUUUACUUUGAAAAAAUUAGAGUGCUCAAAGCAGGCUAAAAUGCCUGAAUAUUCGUGCAUGGAAUAAUAGAAUAGGAUGUCGAUCCUAUUUUGUUGGUUUUCGGGACUCGACAUAAUGAUAAAUAGGGACAGUCGGGGGCAUUUGUAUUCAAACGACAGAGGUGAAAUUCUUGGACCGUUUGAAGACAAACUACUGCGAAAGCAUUUGCCAAGAAUGUUUUCAUUAAUCAAGAACGAAAGUUAGAGGUUCGAAGGCGAUUAGAUACCGCCCUAGUUCUAACCAUAAACGAUGCCAGCUAGCGAUCUGCCUGCGUUUUUACUGUAGACUGGGCAGGAAGCUUCCGGGAAACCAAAGCAUUUGGGUUCCAGGGGAAGUAUGGUUGCAAACUGAAACUUAAAGGAAUUGACGGAAGGGCACCACCAGGAGUGGAGCCUGUGGCUUAAUUUGACUCAACACGGGAAAUCUCACC
rnacentral:rRNA from 1 species